rnacentral:lncRNA from 1 species
GUUAUUUUUGUUUGAAUGUUGUUGUUGUCGUCGCAAGUUGAGGGACGUUGUGCCUAAAGCAUCGUACUGAAGCGCGAAUUGAAUCGUUCUGCAGACGCUGUGCUGAUGCCUGGCUAGGGCUCGUAACCGUCGCGGAAUAGGCCACUGUCUUGUAACGGUUGUUUAUCGUCAGUCUCCAGAGGUAUUUCUCCUUCCGAAGUUCCACGUUUCGGGAAAGAAAAUGGCUUGGAUUAUUUUGGAUACUGCGGCAACGAUUGUCGUUCCUACGUGACGUUUGUGCUACGGACUGAGUGUACAGGUUUCUUUUUGUCCUGAUUCAUUACCCCAACGUAAUUAUUGGAGUUGGAGAUGGGUCGCAGAGCAGACACAGUGGUGUUUUAUCCACAUUUUCCAUGCCAUGGCAGCAAGUGGUGAUGCCUCAAAUGUGCUGUUGUUACGCUGUGGGAAUCUUGGCAGCAGUCCGUUUCGGUGUUCAUUGUUUCAUCAAGGUAGAAAGAAGUGCAGGUAGUAGAGUGUACUGUACAGUGAGGUAUGUGUGUUUCAUUGAUGUUUAAACUGGACUUGGUGAGGGGAUGGACGUCAAGAAAGUCUUGUCAAGAAGCUGGAGCCCCUCCUCAUUUCCAUCGUUCAGCGGUCGUCUGUGAAUGUCACCUCAAGCAUUUGGUGGAACGGGAGACUGGUGUGUGGUUUGGUAGCGGUGUGUAAGGAAGUUCAAUGUGAAUUUAUUGUGCAUGUAUUUUUUUAGGAGCUAGUUGUAGUGGCAGGGUCUUUCAGAAUGAACUCAACAAGAAGAGUGGUGGGAAGAAACAGCAUUGAUGUAGAAAUGUAGCCACAUCUUGAAUCGUCCUUCUUUUAAAGUGAAUUUUAAUUAUUGUUUUUGCAUGAGGGUACUUUGGAUGGGAAUUCUACAAAUCAAACAUCAAGAAAUGUGACGCUGAGAUCAUAGAUGGGCCUGGACAAGUAUCGUUCAAUAAUUUCAGUCAGCACUCCACUGGUGUGGGUUUUUUAAUUUAUUUAUUUUAUUUUUAGGAAACUUGAAGACAACAAGAACUUUGGUGUGGUGGUGGUGGUGGUGGUUUUUGUUCAGUAAGAUAAUGCUUCUUAAAUGAUGUUGUUUUUUGCAUGGGCCAUAUUGCAGGGGUAGGUAAACCAGAAGAAAUAUGGGAACUGAACUUGGUGAGGGGAUGGACAUCAAGAAAGUCUUGUCAAGAAUCUGGAGCCCCUCCUCAUUUCCAUCGUUCAGCAGUCGUCUGUGAAUGUCACCUCAAGCAUUUGGUGGAACGGGAGACUGGUGUGUGGUUUGCUAGCGGUGUGUAAGGAAGUUCAAUGUGAAUUUAUUGUGCAUGUAUUUUUUUUGAGAGUUGGUUGUGGUGGCUGUGCUUUGAGAAGAAACUCAUCAAGAAGAGUUGGGGGAAGAAACACACUGAUGUAGAAUUGUGCUGCCAUGUCUUGUAAUUGUCUCUGCAUGAGGGCACUUUCAAUAACAUUCUGCAAGUGGAACAUCAAGAAAUGUGACGGUGAGACUGAAGAUGGACCUGGACAAGUAUCACUCAACAAGUCCAGCCAUAACUGUUCUGUUGUUGUGUGUUUGUAUUAUUUUUUUAAACUUGAAGGCAACAAGAAAUUUUGGGUGGUGGUGGUGGCGGCGGUUUGUGUUUAAGUCCUAAUCUGCUGUGUUAAUGAUUACAUUUUUGGCACGGAUAAUACUACAGUGUUAAUUCCAGGGUAUGUUUUAUAAUAUCUUUGCAUUUUCCUUUCUCAUUAACACUGUUGUUGACUCUUAAUUAUCAAUGUACUGUUUCUUUCUCUUCCUGCAGAAAGAUAUCCCUUCUUAAAAGAGGGUGUGUUUGUUUUGCUUUCAAUUCAAAGCCACUUGGAGGAGAAGGAAUUUUUCAGUCAUCGUAAUCCUUCCAUAAGGGUUGAUACUGACUUUUUGUGGUUAAUCAUGUGUCUUUUGGCAUGGGAUUCUUUCGGAGGGAAAUCUGCAGGUGGUUAGUCCUCAAGAAAGUUGGCAUUGACACGACAGAUGAGCUUGGACAAGUUACAGACUUCAGAAACCGCACCAAUAAACAACUUAAUUCAUCGCUCAGCAGCUGUCAGCUGGGAAUUGGGAAGUCAGAGCCAGCAACAAGUUUUGGGUGAUGGUGGGAAUGUUGGUACCGAAAAGUAUUGCCACACCUCGUUUAGUUUCUUUUUUCUAUAAGUAAUAUUUAAUUUUUGUUUUGAGCAUGAGGGCACUUGUGAUAGGGUUCUGCCAGUGAAAUAUCAAGGGAUGUGUUGUUGAGACUACAGAUGGGCCUCUACAAGUACCACUUCAACAAUUUCAGUCAUCGCUCCAGUGUCUACUUUAGAAAUUUGAAAUCAACAGGAAGUUGGGGAUAAUGGUUUUGGAUUUGGUGUGUCUCUUGUCUCAUUCUGCAGUUUAAAUUAUUUCAUGGGCCAUAUUGCAGGAGGAAUUUAGGAGGUAAACCAGAAGGAUCAUGGGCUUCGCUGAUUAGGAUGGGCAAUGGCAUGUGGUUGCAUCUCUACUAAACUCCUUCACAAGUCUGCUGUUUCUUUGGAAUUUCAAGCCAUCAAGAGAGAAGAGUUGUUUGUUGUGGUGUCUCUUUGCAUUAUGUCAUGAAGGCACCUGGCUUUGGCGGUCAAAUACAAGCUGAUCAGAAAAAAGAGAGGGUGGCCCAGGUGGUUCUUUGUUCUUUUUAUCAAGUCAAGAGGAGCGGGAUGGUGCUGGUGUGUUUAUGUGUUUGAGAAUCUGUUUCAUUUGGUGUACUUCAGAUUUAAUUAAGUUAAAGAAUGUGUCGCCCUGUUCAGCCCUGCUUUGUGACAGCUCAAUCACUGUAAAUACCGACUGGCUUUCUUCUCGCUUUCUUCCAAGGAUAUCUUAUCUCAAGAAGAAUAGGCAGUAUUUGUUUUGCUUGUCUCCCACUCCAGGAUAUGUGGGUAAUCAGGCAUGCUGCAAAUCAGUCACCCGACUUAAAUGUCAGUCCUUAGAUGUGCGUUGCAAUUACAAAUUUUGUUGUCUGAGACUUGGCCCUCAACUUACAUAACCACAGUUCCAAUCAUGCCAUUUUGAUGAAGUUAUUCCUUCAAGCGUAGAGGAGAGUUUUUGAAAUGAAUCUCAAUCAGAGUGUGGUGAAUUCCACGCCAUUUCAUCUCGGACAGACACCAACACCUGUGCCCAUGGUCUUUCCCCGUGGCUGCAGCUUUCAAAUGUAGGCCAAUCUGUGCAGAGACCUAGGAAUGAAGAGCAAUCAACCACCUGUACUGCUGACUCUGCUGUGCACUCCAGAAAUGAAGGAAUUGUGUGUUCCUGAAGUUGUGCGGAUUACACCUCCAUUUUUGAAGAAAACUUUGCUUUUUGGAAUCCUCUCAUGUUAAAUUUCUAGCCUAUUGUGUUGUGCAAAUGAACUGUUAAAUAUUUUAAGACCGGUCAAAUAACUUAAUUUCUAAUGAUUCCAUACAUAUUAUUUUGUACUGCACUUUUUCUUUUGUUCAAUCUUUGAACACAGAAUGAAAGUCAUUUAUCUUUGUUAAUGUCAAUAGUUUGCUUUGAUAUUUUAUCAAUUGUUAUCAUAUUUCCAGUGUUGUCAUUUUGUCUAAGGAACGCAAGUGGAAUAAAAUUCAAAGACACCAAAA